AGAGUUUGGAUGGAAGCAGAGGUUAGCGUCACGGCGUGUGUUGUUCCGCGGUGUAGCUCUUCUCACACGGGUAGGUCUGCUGGAGGCUAGUGUGGUGACGGAAGCGGUGACUUCAAGGGUGUUUAGUGUUUGCGGGAUUAUGGAGUAUAAUGGCUAUAGCGUGCUGGAUAUGGUGUUUAGGAGGAUUUGAUGCGGUGGUGUGAGGAGGACGAUGUUCUAAGAUAACUGGCGGUGGUGAUUGCAAGUUUGGUGUUGCGAUGAUUGCAGGUGUGUGGUAUUCGCGAUUAUGUAGUGACGGCGGGAGUGAUUGAAAGGUGGUAUUAGUGGCUUUUGUGCGGUGGUGAUUGGAAGGGUAUGGUGAUGGCGAUAGUGAUUGGAGGGGUGUGCUGUUAGUGGUGAUUGUGUGGUGAUGGCGAUGGUGAUUGGAAGGGUAGGGUGAUGGCGGUGGUGAUUGGAAGGGUAUGGUGGUGGCGGUGGUGAUUGGAAGGGUAUGGUGCUGGUGGAGAUUGUGCGGUGACGGGGAGGGGAUGGUGGAGAUUGUGCGGUGACGGGGAGGGGAUGGUGGAGAUUGUGCGGUGACGGGGAGGAGAUGGCGAUGGUUAGGUUAGUUGUAGGUGGUUUUUGGAGGGGUAUGGUGUUGGUGGCAAAAUUUACCGUGUUGAUGGCGUUUAUGCAGUGGUGAUUAAAGAGGUACGUGUGGUGGUGACGGUAGUGCAGUCAUGGUGAUUGGAGGGGUAUGGUGUUUUUGACGACUGUGCGGUAAUGAUAAUGGCUGUGAUUGGAGGGGUUAGGUGGUGGCGAUUAUGCAAUGAUAGCGAUGGUGAUUGGAAGGGUAUACGGUGAUGUUGGUGACGAUUAUGCGGUGAUGACUGAGAGAGGUAUGGUGUUGGUGACUAAAUUUACCGUGUUGGUGGUGUUUGUGCGGUGUAAAGGCGAUGGUGAUCAGAAAGGAAUGGUGUUGGUGGUGUUUGUCGGGUGAUGGCGAUGGUGAUUGGAAGGGUGUGAUGGUGUUUGUGCGGUGGUGAUUGGAGGGGUAUGAUGACGCUAAUGAUUGGAUGGUGAUGGCAGUAAUGGCGAUGGUGACUGGAGUGGUAUGACGGUGAUGGCGGUGGUGAUUGGAAAGAUAGUAUUAGUGGCGAUUGUGCGGUGUUGGGGGAGGGGAUGGUGCUGGUGGCGAUGGGGAGGGUAUGGUGCUGGUAGGAAAUGGUGUACUACUGAAAAAACGAUAGUAUUUUAGUUAAUGGUGCUGACGAUGAUUCGCGAUGAUGAUCAGGAGAAUAUGGUGCUUAUGGUGUAUUAAGGUAACGACGGUUAUCGGGAAGGUAUGGUGAUGGUAAACUGGAAAUGGUUUUAUUUGGAAAAAAAAAAAUAAUAAUAAUGAUCUUGGUGCGGUGAUGGCAGUGAUGAUCUGGAGGGUAAGAUGGUGGUGAUAAAGUGGAAAUGGUGUCUUGAUAUUGUUACAUAUCGUAGGAGUGGUGAUGUUUUUCGUGAAAGGACGGUGGUAAUGGUGACUGCGGUGGUUAUCGAGGGGAAUGAGAUGUUGCUCGUCAGUCUCGCGAUGUUUGUACGUCCCAAGAAGUAAGUACCUUUUAUAAUGCAAUGACGUGAGAGAAGUGCCUAUUGUGUAAUGGUGUUGCGUGCGGGAGCUAACUAUCUUGUAUGACUGCAAUUACGUGCAGGAAGUGCCUCGUGUGAUGCGAUUACGUGCGGGAAGUGCCUCGUGUGAUGCAAUUACGUGCGGGAAGUGCCUCGUGUGAUGCGAUUACGUGCGGGAAGUGCCUCGUGUGAUGCGAUUACGUGCGGGAAGUGCCUCGUGUGAUGCGAUUACGUGCGGGAAGCGCCUCGUGUGAUGCAGGAGGGCGUAAUGGAAGUGGUGGUGGUUAGUGUGUUCCAGCUCCUUGACACCACCGAAAAGUGUGUCGAGGUGUUUCUCGGUCACCGCCUUCUCACACUUCGUUGGAUUGGUAAGUACAAAAAUACAGCACAUCGCGGGACUUCGUGGGACAUCGCGGGAGCAUCUCAACGAAAAAGCUAAGGAAGAAUGCAUGUUUCAUAGGGCACUAGGAAGAUAGGUUGCUAGGUUGCUAACCCCACAUUGCCUUCCAGGAACAAUUAAUGGGCUAAGCCAUAUUGCCUUUCAGGAACAACUAAUUGAAUAGACAUUUUUCAGAGUAGUACCCAGUAAAAUACAAGAAAGGCAAUGGCGUGGAAAUAUAUUCGCAGUAUGGAGUGGCAAUGGCUGUGGAGUUAAAGCACUGCAGGAGUUGUAGAGUAUCAUGAACAUUACCAAGAUUAUUUGUAAACACCGCAGCAUUUGUGCAAGCUCAAGAAGGGAAAGAAAUUAGUCACAGCAGCUUUAAAAAGGAGCUCUGGAAACUGCAACCCUGGAAUUAUGGCAGCCAUUGUUAAAGGUUGGUAAAAAGUGUUUUCUGGUCGGUAAUCCCUUCCCUCCAGCAGGACACUAACCCCUUCUCUCCUACAGGAUGCUAACCCCUUCUCUCCUACAGGAUGCUAACCCCUUCUCUCCUACAGGAUGCUAACCCUUCUCUCCUACAGGAUGCUAACCCCUUCUCUCCUACAGGAUGCUAACCCCUUCUCUCCUACAGGAUGCUAACCCCUUCUCUCCUACAGGAUGCUAACCCCUUCUCUCCUACAGGAUGCUAACCCCUUCUCUCCUACAGGAUGCUAACCCCUUCUCUCCUACAGGAUGCUAACCCCUUCUCUCUUACAGGAUGCUAACCCCUUCUCUCCUACAGGAUGCUAACC